AAACGAUUAAAUAUCAAGCAAGCAACAACAAUUUUAAGUUCAACGCAUUCAUAUAUAAGUAUCAGCAAAACAAUUCCAACUCUCAGCAGUAAUAAUAGUAAUAAUAAGUGAGAGAGAAAAAAA